CAUGCAGCAGUGCUCCGUGGCUCUGCUUUAGUUCCUACCUCUAGGCUCUUGCUUAAUUUGCUCAGUGAUUGAUUGCUAAAAGGAUUCAGAAGACGGAUAAUUUAGUUCCUCCCCAAGUUGGUUUCAUUCAGUGUUUUAUCAUAACGAGGGAAGCAAACUAGGACCUAGAAUUGAUGCUGAGGUCCUUGAUCCAUGUGCGAUUGAGUUUUGUGAAGUGGUGAGAUGAAGAUUUAAUUUUAUUCUUCUUCCUAGAAUUAAGUUAAUGCUCUGUUAUAUAACAAAUGCCCCAUUUUCCCUCUCCUAUGAGGAUGCUAGCUUUGAAUCUUCAAAUGGCUGUAUUUACAUUGAAGUGUCCAUAGAAGGCACAGAACAGCAGGUGAUACUGACAGGAGGAAAGCAAAGCUCAACAACCUCAGGAGUCUACAAAUAAGAGAUGAUGAUGUGGGCAAAAUCCAGAAGUCGAUAGUGAGAGAGGUAAUGGUAUUGCCAAUCUCAAAGAUAAGGCUGGCCACCUGACAGUACUGGACUUUGGA